UGGCGAACGGGUGAGUAACGCGUGAGGAACCUGCCUCAAAGAGGGGGACAACAGUUGGAAACGACUGCUAAUACCGCAUAAGCCCACGGCUCGGCAUCGAGCAGAGGGAAAAGGAGCAAUCCGCUUUGAGAUGGCCUCGCGUCCGAUUAGCUAGUUGGUGAGGUAACGGCCCACCAAGGCAACGAUCGGUAGCCGGACUGAGAGGUUGAACGGCCACAUUGGGACUGAGACACGGCCCAGACUCCUACGGGAGGCAGCAUG
rnacentral:rRNA from 1 species